UUUUUUUUUUUUUUUUUUAGGGCCACACCUUCAGCAUAUAGAAGUUCCCAGGCUAGGGCUUGGGACCUACACCACAGCUCACAGCAAUGCUGGAUCCUUGACCCACCGAGCAGGGCCAGGGAUCGGACCUGCAUCCUACAGAUACUAGUGGGGUUUGUAACCCGCUGAGCUGCAAUGGGACUCCCCCCAUUUUUAUUAAUUUAGUAUAAAUAUUAACCUUCCCAAUGCAUAUAUUUCUGAAAAGCCAUUCUAAUGACCAAUUCAUCAAAAUGUAUUAACUGAAAAGUGUAUCUUCUAGUAAAAGCAAAAAGGGAGCACGAGAGAAGAAAGGCAAGGCAAUUAAAAGAAGGCUUUGUCAGCCGUGCAGCCUGGGAAGGGUAUAUGCUUAACCUCCUGACACGUUUAUGACUGUAGAGUGGUCAGAGAGCGCACUGCCGUGGUGCACCUCCUGAGGCUAGGGAACCCCAAGAUGAGAGCCGUUUGCCGCUAAAAACCCUGAGUCAGAGCUGAUGAAGCACUGCCAGCCUGGCCCGCAGACGACGAGUAAGUAGUCAUGACACACCUAAUCAUUUACAACAGCCCACCAGGGACUCUGGGAACAAGCUUGGAGCCAUUAACUAACGACCUACCUUUGCUAACAUCUCCAGCUUGCAAAGCGCAGGGUUAGAGUUCACACAGCACACGGCCGCUGAGGGAGUGACCCCGGUGGGCGGCCAGCGCCCCUCACCUCCCCCGGGGGCACUGCCAGGAGCCGGCCGGCGUCACAGCCUCCUGGCGCAUUUACCACGUCUUCCUUCCUUGGUCCCCAACCACUGCUCCACGUGGGAAACGUCAGAACCACACGGACAGGCCCGAAGCCAGGGGGCCCUCCCGCGCCCCGUCCUCCUUCCCCAGACGGUGUGUCACCUUUCUGUGUUUGCCUCUUCAAUUUUCCCACCCAGCCGUGGCUACCAUUCAACUUGAAAAUCAGCAGCACUUCAACGCCACCGAGUCACCUGCCUUCUUCAACCACACCGUGCGGUUAGCACGUUUCUACACCAACAGUUAUUUCCACACGGCCGUGCAUCUCAUCUCACUGAUCCCUCUCUGCUGGAUGCUGCGGCAGUUCUCAGGGUUUCGGGCUAUGAAUAAAGCCGGGACUCACUUCAUAACACCCCCUGACAGGCCACCGUCCACCGAGUCUCUCCCUCUCCUGCACACACACAGCACGACGUUCCAGAAGCAACGUUCACGCCACACACAUGUCGUGAAGCACAUUACAGACCUUCGCCUCGGAACUUCGUCUUCAUCUUUAUUCUCGCUGGAAAUACUCUUGAGGCUGUCACCCUCGAGCCAAGGCUCCCCAGUCUUCACGACACUUCAAACGCGACGUGUGACACAAACAGCUCAUACAACUUCCGCUCACAUUUCUUUGAUGCUUGAUGAAGCUGCCCAUUGUUCACAUGGUAAUGAGGGGUUUGUACUUAUCUUUUAUUGGCCUUGGAGCAAUUUUCUACCGAGAUAUUAGCCUUUUCCUGAUUGAUUUCCUGAUUUACUUAUUUUACUGUCACUGCAUCACGAUCAUCUCUUACCUACGGAGGUAACUCAUCCUUUGUAAAGACGGUGUUAGAAAUGCUUCGUGUGUCUAACGAUCCAAGUGGGCGCUUGUGCAGACACUGAGGCCCCCCCCCCACGACAGGAGUUACAAUGCGGUCCUCUGCUUCGUCUUGCCCCUCCCUCAGGCUCUUCCUGCAUCCCACCCCUGCACCAGCACCUCUCCCUUAACCCAGGAGAGUUACUGCCUAGUAGAUCUAUAUUUUUUUUUAAAGUCCCCAUUCUUCCAUAAGUGUAUUUCAACCCAUAGAGAGAUAUAAAAACAUACACAGCAUUCUUCCCAUUGAUCAUCUCAUAAAAAUGAGAUCCUAUUAAACAUUUUCUGCAUCUUAUUUGAUACCUCAUAAACAUCCUGCCAAGGUAAUUGGUUUGAUUCUAAUUCAUCCUUUCUAAUAGCUACAUAAGAAUCCCUGGGGUGGGUGGGCUUUAUUUCCCUCUCACCCCAGGGGACUUCUGAGGCCAACCGUUUCUCGUUACUGGCCAUGAGUGGAGGGAAAUGAGGUGGUUUUUGUGUCUGAAUCCAUUUGGCAGCAGUGCCAGCACCUAGAUGCCACUGGACAGACCUGGUCCUGGCCUUGUUUUCUGCCUGCGCUCACUGCAAAAACCCAGCAUCGAGUUGGCUGUUGGGCCAGCUGUGUCCACAUGAGGCCUGUACAAGCUCCCGCACCAAGUUCUGACCCAAGAAGACCCCCCAGGACAAUUCACCUGGAAAAUCCACCAAGAGAGUAAAUUGUGCCUAUGGCUCUUAGGACAGGCUAGCUCCUAAGAAUCAGCAGGGGAAUUUUUUUUUAGUGUAAAGCCAAUGAAAUCAGAACCUUUGAAGCUCAGCCCGAACAUCUAGUACAUCUCCGAGGCCCCAGGGGCCUUCUCAGGUGUGGACCACGUCGGGAACCACUGCAUCGGCCCCUCCCCUCCUCCUGGCCCGGCCCCCUUCUCCCACCGUCAUCGCCCUAACACGUCCGUCCGCCUCUCUCAUCCACGGCAGAGACCCGCGGAAGUGGAACGGGGAUUGAACCAAGGUGGGACUGUAGGUGGGACUCUAGGCUAGACACACAUUUUCCCGUCUCCAGCAGGGGGGCUACGUGGUGUCUCACCAUCCGCUUGGUCUGCACCUUUGCAGGCGCUGGGCUUCCCGCAGCAAGAACCCUGCUUAGACCGACGACACCAGGCAGGGCGCCAGGAAGCUAGGCUGACAGAGGAGCUCUGGAGCGCGGCCGAGAAAAGUGUAAGAGAGGACUCUGGACAGACAGGAUGACUGCUCCGUCCCAGGGGCUGGGAGAGAAAAUGAGGGCGAGAACGACUGAGCGAGAGGAGGAAACGGGGGGAGAGCCGCAGCUGGACACCGAGCGCAGGGCCACACUCAGAAAGGGGCUCCCGGGAGCUUUUUCGGGUGAUGGAACUAAUUCCCUGUCUGGACUGCAGUGACAGCCACACAGAGGCACUCCUUUGUGACGCCACUUGCAGCGACGUGGAUGGACUAGAAACCGCCACACUAAGUGAAGAUGCGGGGAAAGACGGACACCGCGUGACAGCCCUUACGCGUGGAAUCUUCAAAAGGGGUACAGGCCAACUUCCUGCAGAACAGAGACCGACUCGCACACCUUGACACACUUACGGUCACCAAAGGGGAGGUGGGAGGUGGGCAUGGGCUGGGGGUGGGGAGGCACAUGCACACUGGGGUCCACGGAGUGACUGGCCGACGGGGACCCGCUGCACAGCACAGAGGCCUCUGCCCAAUAUUCCGAGAUCGUCUGUGUGGACCAAGAAUCUGAAACAGAGCGGCUGGGAGGACAAGUAAACCGCAUCACUCGGUUGCAGAGCAGAAAUGAUCGCAGCCUUGAAAAGCGACUACAUGUCCAUAGAAAUUUAAAAAUGAAAAAAAAAAAGAACUCAUCACACUGGCCUCUGCCAAUUAUUUAUAUCUACGUAUGUGGGGAGAAAGUAUUUUUAAAGCUAAAGAAGAAAGAGGCGCGGAGGAGUUGAAAAGGUGAGAAGGCCGGAACUCUGGCCGAGAACCGUGCGGAGGCGCCUGAGAGCCGCCCCUCCGGGACUGGCCCCCAGGGCCCCGGCCCACGUCAAAGGCAAAGCGAGACCAGAACCCUGAUCCUCCGCCCUCCCGAUACACAAAAGCAGGUGGCAGAGCUGGGACCCUGUCCUCAAGUACCUUCCAGGGAACUCGGAUUUCAUGAGCUGCUUCCUGAAUGAAAGCUUCGGACGCCAAAAUGCUUUGGAAAUGCUCAUCCUGUUUUCACUUCUUGCAUGAUCACCACAUAUGCUAGACCAGCACGAACGGGUACAUUACAUUUGUAAUUUAAUUUAUUGAAAAAAAAUAAAGUUAGCAGUUCUCUUGUGGCACAGUGGGAUAAGGAUCCUGUGUUGUCACUGCCGCAGCUUGAGCUGCUGCUGUGACGUGGGUUCGAUCCCUGGCACGGUAACUUCCACAAGUCCUGGACAUUCCCCCCAUCCCUCCCAAAAAAUAAACAAACAAAUUUAAAUUUAACGAUUUCCUUAUGUAGCCCAAUAUAUCCAAAAUAUUAGUGUCCCAACAUGCAUAAAAAUAUAAAUUCUUAAUGAGCUAUUUUUUGUAGUACUGACCUUUUGAAACCCAGCGGGCAUUUUAACUUGCAGCACACGUCUCCAGACAGACAAGCCGCGUUCCAGGUGCCCAACAGCCGCCUGUGCCUAGAGGCGGCCGUAUCAGCGCCCUUAGACUACUGAGGGCUCCGGGAAGCUCUACAGUAAAGAUAUGCCUUUACCUUUGUUUAAUCCAAACAAAUUAUUUGACCACCAGACCCCCGCCCUCUUUGGGGGAGGGGAGGGGCAGUUCCAUCCAUUAGGAUCCGCUCUACAGGAAGACACUUCAAAACUACCAACUCGGUUCAGAGAUUGUACAGUGUCCAUCCAAAAGUUAGAGCAACCUAAAGACAGGUUUUGACUGGUCAAUACUGCUGGAUAAUUUAGGGGGGCUUUUAAAAGUCGGGAGAUUCCACGUUAAAAAUCUGGAUUUCUGCUUUCUCUGUGAAAAGGGAAACACUGGCUUUCGCCGAGUCUGAAUUCCUUCGAGGCAACGGUAGGUUCAAGCUGAGUGUGGCGGGGUUCUCUUUGGGGGGGGCAGGCUCCGAGCAUACGCAGGGGGCCCACGCUGCAGUUCAGAAUCAUCCCCGACACCCCCACCACGUACUCACAGAAACACACCUGGGCACCCUACCCAUGCCAGUCUCCUACUGAGCCCGCGGGCAUCUGAUGUGAGCCUCUAACCCCUGCACAAGCUCUGUCAUCACACCGUUCAGGUAAGGAAACUGAGGCCCCCAAAGCUGACGGUCCUUUCACUGGUCGGGGACGGAGCAGGAACUGCGUCCGCUCUCUUCUGACCUGUCCGACAGGCUCUCUGACGCUUCUGCCACUACUGUCGCACCGCUGGUCCUCCGCCUGUGAGAAUCGGACUGUGUGAGCCACCGACUUGCGAACCCCUCACUCUUCAGUUAUGCUCUUGAAGCUAAGGCGAUGCUCCCUGCCUGACACCACUGGGAUCCGCGCUCAUCGCUAACGGAUGCUGACUUGAAACAAAUGAGACCGUGGUGAGGGCCAAACACCCGGCUCGGGUACAGGGAGAGUUCCAAAGUCCCUAAGUAAUCCUUCAGCCUUCUCGUUGGGAUGGAAUGGAAACCGCAAGUCCACGCAGAACGUGAACACUGAGAAUCUCCAAGCAGGAUCCCAACACAGGGCUGUGGGGACAGUGUCUCUGGGCAAGAGGCCAGGGCCGCCCAGGUUUCUGCACCCCCGCGGGUGUGCUGGAGCAGAUCUGAGCUGGAUUCAGAGCCCCUGUGGCCAUGCUUAUCUCCAGGCUAAGGCCAACAAUGCUUUUUUAUUUUCUCCUUUAUAACAGCAGUUAAUUUCCCCAGGGAGUUUCGGCUCCUUUUAAUAAGACAAAAUUUACCCAAGACUGCGGAUAGCUGUGUUUCUGUGUGUCUGAAAGAGUGUGAUGCUCCUGUGCCUGAUUUAGCAUGAAAUCAAGUAACCUUGAACGAAGCCAACUUCUUUCUUGUGUCCUUUAUGACUCCUGCGUGGAGGAGAGCCAGGAAGCGUCUGCAGAAAAGAAGGGAGCAAGGACCUGGGAGGGUUUGUUUCUGUUUCUGGGCUGCACCUGUGGCACGCCAAAGUUCCUGGGCUCAGGAGAGAAGCCGCAUCAUGGCGGUGACAAUGCCAGAUCCUCAACCCACUGAGCCACCAGGGACCUCCAAGAGCCGGUGGAGGUGUUUUAAAACGGUACAUGCACAGCUCUCCUCAUGCGCCUGGAAACUCAGAGGCCAGGAAGCAGAGAUUCACCUGCAGUGGCCUUUCUCUAGACAUCCCGGACUCGGCGACUCACGGCAGGUGGGCAGCUAGCAGAUUGAAGACAGCAGAUCCCUUCCGGUGAGCACGCUCUUUACCGAGGCAGACUUUUUUUUUUUUUUUGUCUUUUUGCCUUUUCUAGGGAUGCUCCCACGGCAUAUAGAGGUGCGGGCCUAGAAAAGGCAAAAAAAAAGUUUGUUUAUUCAACUAUCAUGGGGAAGUCCCUGGGCACAUGAAGUGUUCCAUGAAGCACCCCUUCCUGCUCCUCCAACCUCGCUGCUGACCUAUGAGAAGCAAGAUACUGCGGUAAACAAGCACGACGCAGUCCUCGCAGCUGCCUUCCAGCAGAGGAGCCCUGAGGGAACUCAGGAAGGAAACAAGAACACCUGCCAUCCAGCAGCCACUGCUCCAGGUGAGCCCUCAGGCUGUGAAGGCACAGGAACCUGCACCAGGCAGCUGAGCGGCACCGCACAGUGACGACGUCAGGGCGCCCAGAGCCUGCACCUCCCAUGCACAGAAAAGCCUACAUCCCUUAACUCGAGAGCCUCGCUUUCUUUUAAGAGUAAUGUUUUGUUCUGACUACCAGCCCUUUGUUGCAAAAUUCUUAUACAUCCUAGCUCCCACCACUCCUCGGAGCGGUUUCUCAGAGCUUUCUGAAAUGCUGCCUCUCAGGCUGAAGUCCUCAUUCUGCCCC
rnacentral:lncRNA from 9 species